GACAUAGACUGACUAUGUGACCCCAGAGCAAGGCACCUAACAUUUCAGUGCUUGAGACAACUCACAAAGACUACAGAUUGCUCAGAAGAUGCCAACAUGCACUGGAAAAGAGUUUCUUCCUGUGCUAUCCUGGUCCCUCCAGUUGUAUAGGCAACUCCCUUCCCACAUUUUCUACAAGUCACUGACAUGAGACAUCUAUCAUGCAGUUGUCCUCAGUCUCUGUGACAUCCGUGCCAUAUGUUGGAAGCCUGGGUCCAGUGGCACAAAAGGUCGUUACACCUGGAGACUUCCUCAGCUGCAUUGGAUGGUCGUGUUGUCUUUUGUGCUCCAACAUGCCCUAAGCACUCCACAGUGCUUUGCUGCGUCGCCCUCUCAGCCGUUGAACCUUCUUGUUGGUUUCUUCCACCUGUUCCGCCGAAGCAGUCUUCACAUGCUGGUGAGCAAAGCCCUGGUUCACCAGGGGUCGACGACCCGAUGGCUACCCUCACAAGGUUUAACCGGCCUGUCAAUUACAAACAGACAAACACACAAAUAUAUAGAAUGAAAAAAAAUCUUAUUCAGUAGAGUUUAUAACCUGUGGGGGAGAUAAGAAGAUGCACAUACAUAAUAAUUGUAUACACACACACACACUUCUUGUUGUUCAGUCAUUUUUCAGUUAUAUCUGACUCUUCAUGACCUCAUUUGGGAUUUUCUUGGCAAAGAUACUGAAGUGGUUAGCCAUUGCUUCUCCAGCUUAUGAAGAAACUGAAAAAUUAGGUUAAGUGACUUGCCCAGGGUCACAUAGCUAGUAAAUAUCAGAGGCCUGAUUUGAACUCAGAAGUUUUCUUCUUGUCUCUAAGCCCAACACUGUGCCACCUAGCUCUGUAUAUACA
rnacentral:lncRNA from 1 species